rnacentral:tRNA from 1 species
AUAUAUAUAGUUUAAAAAAAACAUUACAUUUUCACUGUAAAAAUAAAAAAAUUUUUUAUAUAUU